rnacentral:rRNA from 1 species
AGAGUUUGAUCAUGGCUCAGAUUGAACGCUGGCGGCAGGCCUAACACAUGCAAGUCGAGCGGUAGCACAAGAGAGCUUGCUCUCUGGGUGACGAGCGGCGGACGGGUGAGUAAUGUCUGGGAAACUGCCUGAUGGAGGGGGAUAACUACUGGAAACGGUAGCUAAUACCGCAUAACGUCUUCGGACCAAAGUGGGGGACCUUCGGGCCUCACGCCAUCAGAUGUGCCCAGAUGGGAUUAGUUAGUAGGUGGGGUAAUGGCUCACCUAGGCGACGAUCCCUAGCUGGUCUGAGAGGAUGACCAGCCACACUGGAACUGAGACACGGUCCAGACUCCUACGGGAGGCAGCAGUGGGGAAUAUUGCACAAUGGGCGCAAGCCUGAUGCAGCCAUGCCGCGUGUGUGAAGAAGGCCUUCGGGUUGUAAAGCACUUUCAGCGAGGAGGAAGGGUAGUGUGUUAAUAGCACAUUGCAUUGACGUUACUCGCAGAAGAAGCACCGGCUAACUCCGUGCCAGCAGCCGCGGUAAUACGGAGGGUGCAAGCGUUAAUCGGAAUUACUGGGCGUAAAGCGCACGCAGGCGGUUUGUUAAGUCAGAUGUGAAAUCCCCGCGCUUAACGUGGGAACUGCAUUUGAAACUGGCAAGCUAGAGUCUUGUAGAGGGGGGUAGAAUUCCAGGUGUAGCGGUGAAAUGCGUAGAGAUCUGGAGGAAUACCGGUGGCGAAGGCGGCCCCCUGGACAAAGACUGACGCUCAGGUGCGAAAGCGUGGGGAGCAAACAGGAUUAGAUACCCCGGUAGU